rnacentral:rRNA from 1 species
AUGAACGCUAGCUACAGGCUUAACACAUGCAAGUCGAGGGGCAGCAUGGUCUUAGCUUGCUAAGGCCGAUGGCGACCGGCGCACGGGUGAGUAACACGUAUCCAACCUGCCGUCUACUCUUGGACAGCCUUCUGAAAGGAAGAUUAAUACAAGAUGGCAUCAUGAGUCCGCAUGUUCACAUGAUUAAAGGUAUUCCGGUAGACGAUGGGGAUGCGUUCCAUUAGAUAGUAGGCGGGGUAACGGCCCACCUAGUCUUCGAUGGAUAGGGGUUCUGAGAGGAAGAUCCCCCACAUUGGAACUGAGACACGGUCCAAACUCCUACGGGAGGCAGCAGUGAGGAAUAUUGGUCAAUGGACGAGAGUCUGAACCAGCCAAGUAGCGUGCAGGAUGACGGCCCUAUGGGUUGUAAACUGCUUUUAUAAGGGAAUAAAGUGAGUCUCGUGAGACUUUUUGCAUGUACCUUAUGAAUAAGGACCGGCUAAUUCCGUG